UGGUGCUUGCAUCAUGAAUUACAUUUGAGUGAGUGGCGAACUGGUGAGUAACACGUGGGAAACCUGCCCAGAAGCGGGGGAUAACACCUGGAAACAGAUGCUAAUACCGCAUAACAACUUGGACCGCAUGGUCCGAGUUUGAAAGAUGGCUUCGGCUAUCACUUUUGGAUGGUCCCGCGGCGUAUUAGCUAGAUGGUGAGGUAACGGCUCACCAUGGCAAUGAUACGUAGCCGACCUGAGAGGGUAAUCGGCCACAUUGGGACUGAGACACGGCCCAAACUCCUACGGGAGGCAGCAGUAGGGAAUCUUCCACAAUGGACGAAAGUCUGAUGGAGCAACGCCGCGUGAGUGAAGAAGGGUUUCGGCUCGUAAAACUCUGUUGUUAAAGAAGAACAUAUCUGAGAGUAACUGUUCAGGUAUUGACGGUAUUUAACCAGAAAGCCACGGCUAACUACGUGCCAGCAGCCGCGGUAAUACGUAGGUGGCAAGCGUUGUCCGGAUUUAUUGGGCGUAAAGCGAGCGCAGGCGGUUUUUUAAGUCUGAUGUGAAAGCCUUCGGCUCAACCGAAGAAGUGCAUCGGAAACUGGGAAACUUGAGUGCAGAAGAGGACAGUGGAACUCCAUGUGUAGCGGUGAAAUGCGUAGAUAUAUGGAAGAACACCAGUGGCGAAGGCGGCUGUCUGGUCUGUAACUGACGCUGAGGCUCGAAAGUAUGGGUAGCAAACAGGAUUAGAUACCCUGGUAGUCCAUACCGUAAACGAUGAAUGCUAAGUGUUGGAGGGUUUCCGCCCUUCAGUGCUGCAGCUAACGCAUUAAGCAUUCCGCCUGGGGAGUACGGCCGCAAGGCUGAAACUCAAAGGAAUUGACGGGGGCCCGCACAAGCGGUGGAGCAUGUGGUUUAAUUCGAAGCUACGCGAAGAACCUUACCAGGUCUUGACAUACUAUGCAAAUCUAAGAGAUUAGACGUUCCCUUCGGGGACAUGGAUACAGGUGGUGCAUGGUUGUCGUCAGCUCGUGUCGUGAGAUGUUGGGUUAAGUCCCGCAACGAGCGCAACCCUUAUUAUCAGUUGCCAGCAUUAAGUUGGGCACUCUGGUGAGACUGCCGGUGACAAACCGGAGGAAGGUGGGGAUGACGUCAAAUCAUCAUGCCCCUUAUGACCUGGGCUACACACGUGCUACAAUGGAUGGUACAACGAGUUGCGAACUCGCGAGAGUAAGCUAAUCUCUUAAAGCCAUUCUCAGUUCGGAUUGUAGGCUGCAACUCGCCUACAUGAAGUCGGAAUCGCUAGUAAUCGCGGAUCAGCAUGCCGCGGUGAAUACGUUCCCGGGCCUUGUACACACCGCCCGUCACACCAUGAGAGUUUGUAACACCCAAAGU
rnacentral:rRNA from 2 species